rnacentral:rRNA from 1 species
UGGGGAAUUUUGGACAAUGGGCGAAAGCCUGAUCCAGCAAUGCCGCGUGAGUGAAGAAGGCCUUCGGGUUGUAAAGCUCUUUUGUCAGGGAAGAAACGGUGAAAGCUAACAUCUUUUGCUAAUGACGGUACCUGAAGAAUAAGCACCGGCUAACUACGUGCCAGCAGCCGCGGUAAUACGUAGGGUGCAAGCGUUAAUCGGAAUUACUGGGCGUGAAGCGUGCGCAGGCGGUUUUGUAAGUCUGAUGUGAAAUCCCCGGGCUCAACCUGGGAAUUGCAUUGGAGACUGCAAGGCUAGAAUCUGGCAGAGGGGGGUAGAAUUCCACGUGUAGCAGUGAAAUGCGUGGAUAUGUGGAGGAACACCGAUGGCGAAGGCAGCCCCCUGGGUCAAGAUUGACGCUCAUGCACGAAAGCGUGGGGAGCAAACAGGAUUAGAUACCCUGGUAGUCCACGCCCUAAACGAUGUCUACUAGUUGUCGGGUCUUAAUUGACUUGUAACGCAGCUAACGCGUGAAGUAGACCGCCUGGGGAGUACGUCGCAAGAUU